AAGUACGCUCGCGCUAACCGCAAGGAGGCAGGCGCCCUACGGAUGCCUGUGAUUGGGGUG
rnacentral:rRNA from 1 species